rnacentral:rRNA from 1 species
CGAACGGGUGAGUAAUAUAUCGGAACGUACCCUGGAGUGGGGGAUAACGUAGCGAAAGUUACGCUAAUACCGCAUACGAUCUAAGGAUGAAAGUGGGGGAUCCGCAAGAACCUCAUGCUCGUGGAGCGGCCGAUAUCUGAUUAGCUAGUUGGUAGGGUAAAAGCCUACCAAGGCAUCGAUCAGUAGCUGGUCUGAGAGGACGACCAGCCACACUGGAACUGAGACACGGUCCAG